AAGUCAUAACAAGGUUUCCGUAGGUGAACCUGCGGAAGGAUCAUUAGAGAUGCCGAAAGGCUUUUCCAAACACCUGUGCACCGGUCCGAGUCUUUCGGGACGACGGCCACUUUACACCAAACAGCUGUCAUGAACGUAACCUAUUAUAAACAGAAACAACUUUCAACAACGGAUCUCUUGGCUCUC
rnacentral:misc_RNA from 1 species